rnacentral:rRNA from 1 species
UACGGGGGGGGCAAGCGUUGUUCGGAAUUACUGGGCGUAAAGGGUGCGUAGGCGGCUUUCUAAGUUGGAUGUGAAAACUCUGGGCUCAACCCAGAGCCUGCAUCCAAAACUGGAGAGCUUGGGUUCUGGAGGGGAAAGCGGAAUUCCUGGUGUAGCGGUGAAAUGCGUAGAUAUCAGGAGGAACACCGGUGGCGAAGGCGGCAUUCUGGACCGACAUUGACGCUGAGGAGCGAAAGCCAGGGGAGCAAACGGG